rnacentral:rRNA from 1 species
AACCUGGUUGAUCUUGCCAGUAGUCAUAUGCUUGUCUCACAGAUUAAGCCAUGCAAGUGAAAGUACAUAUGUAAGUAAUAUAUUGAAACUGCGAACGGCUCAUUAAAACAGUUAUAAUCUACUUGAUGUUUUUAAUAUAAGGAUAACUACGGAAAAUCUGUAGCUAAUACUUGUGAAAAUACCUUUUGAUAUAUACAUAUGUAUGUAUCAUUAAGGUAUGUAUUUGUUAGAUAUAAGAAUAAAAUAAAUAUAAUUGAAUUAUAACAAAGAAGAAACACAUAAAAUAUGUGUAUUAUCAAUCGAGUAUCUGACCUAUCAGCUUUUGAUGUUAGGGUAUUGACCUAACAUGGCUAUGACGGGUAACGGGGAAUUAGAGUUCGAUUCCGGAGAGGGAGCCUGAGAAAUAGCUACCACAUCUAAGGAAGGCAGCAGGCGCGUAAAUUACCCAAUUCUAAAAAAGAGAGGUAGUGACAAGAAAUAACAAUACAAUAUCGAAAAAUGAUUUUGUAAUUGGAAUGAUAGGAAUUUACAAGGUUCCUAGAGAAACAAUUGGAGGGCAAGUCUGGUGCCAGCAGCCGCGGUAAUUCCAGCUCCAAUAGCAUAUAUUAAAAUUGUUGCAGUUAAAACGUUCGUAGUUGAAUAUUAAAGAAUCCGAUGUUUCAUUUAAACUGGUUUGGGAAAACCAAAUAUAUUAUAUAUUUUGCUUUGUUCAAAAUAAGGUUUUCUAAUAAAUUAUGUUUUUAUCAGAUAUGACAGAAUCUUUUUUAAAAUCUCUUCAAUAUGCUUUUAUUGCUUUUGAGAGGUUUUGUUACUUUGAGUAAAAUUAAGUGUUCAUAACAGACGGGUAGUCAUGAUUGAGUUCAUUGUGUUUGAAUACUACAGCAUGGAAUAACAAAUAUGAAUAAGCUAAUUAUUUUUUUUUUUCAUAAUUUUUUUUGAUAUUCUUAUUAGCUUAGUUACGAUUAAUAGGAGUAGCUUUGGGGGCAUUCGUAUUCAGAUGUCAGAGGUGAAAUUCUAAGAUUUUCUGGAGACGGACUACUGCGAAAGCAUUUGCCUAAUCUAUUUCCAUUAAUCAAGAACGAAAGUUAAGGGAGUGAAGACGAUCAGAUACCGUCGUAAUCUUAACCAUAAACUAUACCGACUAGGUGUUGGAUGAAUAUAAAAAAUAUAUAAAUAUGUAGCAUUUCUUAGGGAAUGUUGAUUUUAUAUUAGAAUUGCUUCCUUCAGUACCUUAUGAGAAAUCAAAGUCUUUGGGUUCUGGGGCGAGUAUUCGCGCAAGCGAGAAAGUUAAAAGAAUUGACGGAAGGGCACCACCAGGCGUGGAGCUUGCGGCUUAAUUUGACUCAACACGGGAAAACUCACUAGUUUAAGACAAGAGUAGGAUUGACAGAUUAAUAGCUCUUUCUUGAUUUCUUGGAUGGUGAUGCAUGGCCGUUUUUAGUUCGUGAAUAUGAUUUGUCUGGUUAAUUCCGAUAACGAACGAGAUCUUAACCUGCUAAUUAGCGGUAAGUACACUAUAUUUUUAUUUGAAAUUGAAUAUAGGUAAUUAUACAUGUUUAUUCAGUGUUCAAAUUAGGAUAUUUUUUUAUUAAAAUAUUCUUUUCCCUGUUCUACUAUAAUAAUUUGUUUUUUUUUACUCUAUUUCUCUCUUCUUUUAAGAAUGUACUUGUUUGAUUAAAUAAAGCUUCUUAGAGGAACAGUGUGUAUCUAACACAAGGAAGUUUAAGGCAACAACAGGUCUGUGAUGUCCUUAGAUAAACUAGGCUGCACGCGUGCUACAAUGAUAUAUAUAACAAGUUGUUAAAAAUGUACUUAUAAAUAAGUGUGUACAGUUUUUCCUGUACUGAAAAGUAUAGGUAAUCUUUAUCAGUAUAUAUCGUAAUUGGGAUAGAUUAUUGCAAUUAUUAAUCUUGAACGAGGAAUGCCUAGUAAGCAUGAUUCAUUAGAUUGUGCUGACUACGUCCCUGCCCUUUGUACACACCGCCCGUCGCUCCUACCGAUUGAAAGAUAUGAUGAAUUGUUUGGAUAUGAAUUAAAAUAAUGAAAUUUUAUAUUUCUGAUUUUUUCUAGAAGAACUGUAAAUCCUAUCUUUUAAAGGAAGGAGAAGUCGUAACAAGGUUUCCGUAGGUGAACCUGCGGAAGGAUCAUUA